rnacentral:misc_RNA from 1 species
AACGCACCUUGCACCCUUUGGUAUUCCGAAGGGUACGCCCGUUUGAGUGUCAUUGUAAUCUCACUAUGAUCGACUUUUUGUCUUUCUGUAUGUGGACUUGGAUGUUUGCCGUGAAUAACAAACGGCUCGUCUGAAAUGCCUGAGUGUACCCCGCUUUGCGGCGUAUUCGGUGUGAUACAUCUUCACCGGAGUUGAUCCUUACGGGUCGCGUCUGUAACGAGUGUGGCUCUAUGCUUCGAACCGUCUUCUUACGAGACAAUCUCUGACAAUUUGACCUCAAAUCGGGUGGGACUACCCGCUGAACUUAA